rnacentral:lncRNA from 1 species
GGACUGUGGAGCCUGAGCCCAUUGGGCAGGCACAGUCAGCUGUGAGUGACAGCGCCCCGAUACCUACGGGUAGGGCAGAGAGUUUUGGUCAGGACGGUAGUCCGAGCUUAGAUCUGGGAGCGUGGAAUGCCACGUGUUAGAUCGUGAGAUUGAUGACACCGAGUGUGUAGUGACCCAACCCGAGGACUUGACGUGGUUUGGAGUCUUGGUUGCUCCUGGUUGGAGUGUGUGCGAAUUCUCCAAUGAGAGUGUCGCCCGAUGAUGAUUGGGUCUACGAAGCGAACGAGAGGCGCUAUGCGUAGUUGCGACAGGUUGGGCUGUAAGCCUACGUAGGACUGGUGACCUAUGGUUCACCAAUGAGAUCGAGGUAAACGGUAGGCGGGUGGCCUUAUCGACGAGUUUAAGCUUGAAUUCACGAACAGGAGUUCGUAUGAAUUCGUUGCAAGAGCGAUGUUAGUCGUGGCUGUAGUAUCAAAGGAUAAGGAGAGAAAGUAAAGUGGUCUCUGGGAGACACUUGAGUAAUGAAUAGCCACGUGAGGAUUGAAGCUUGAGGAAAUUGCUCUUCUAUGGAUUGAGAUUCGAGAUGUGCUGAGUGGGCUAUCUCGUGAUGGAACAAGGAUCUAGUCGAGGAUUGAAGCACUCGCGAUUGGUCGAUGCAUCAACGAAAUUGCCUCUGAGCAAUGCCGGUGAUCGAAUCGGAGUGAAAUUUCUCGAUUGGGUGUAUAAUGCAAAGAGCAGUUCCUUACAUGGUGGUAAUACACUUUUGGACUUGCACAUAACAAAUGUGAGCAUAUCCAGUCUCACAUCCUCCGAGGUGGGCCUUUGAACAGUCCAAUAAGUGAAAGGCCACUCCGAGGUGGGAAAGUGCAUUGGAAUUUUCGAUUGCUCGAUAAACCGAGUUGGAGUAUCGAUUGGGUUGAAGUGAGUUAGUUUCGAGGACGAAACUCUUUUAAGGAGGGGAGAAUGUAAGGUACCGGACUUCUAAAAUCAUGAGGUUACGGUGUCCAUUUGGUUGGAGAGCCAUUUGAAUGGUUCCGGUAAGGUUGCGGUGUAAUGUAAUAUACCGGAUUUAAAUAUAAUAAAUAAAAAUAAAUAAAAAUAGUAUGAGAUACUAUUUUUAUUGGAUUUGGAGAAGUGAAAUAUGAGUUAGAAAUGACUUGUGCUGAAAUCGGAAUGAAAACAGAAGAUUUAGAAUUUUCUGUGAGAGACGGGACAGGUAAAUUAGCAGAAAAUGCACAGUCUCAGAAAAUUAUGAAAAUUGGAGGAUAAGUCAGAAAUAUUUUUAUGAGGCUAGAUUUGAGGUUUCAUAUUUUUCUGACACCCGUAGAGUGAGAAAUAAAAUCCGAAAGCUAUCUGAUAAAGAUUGCAGUUCGGCACAGUUUUUGGUGACCAAACGGGGUCGAAGCUGGAAACUUAAGAUAUAUUCUUACUCAGUACGUUAAACCGAGACUACCUGUCAAAUUUGAGCGCAAACGGACAUUCAGAAGGGUUCCGACGGAACUUAUCAGAUUUGAGGGACUAAACUGAAAAGUGGAAUAGUUGAGGGGGCUGCUUGUGGAAAAGAGCAUUGCUCUUCUUCUCCUCCCUCAACCUGCGUACACAACCAGCACACACACACACACACAACACACGCAUGGAGGGGAAAAGAGAGAAAUCUCUUUCUCUCUCUAGAUUUCUCCCGAAGAGAGAGGAUUUUGGUGGAGGUUGAUGCUCAAGGAUGGAUUUUCAUCUUCUCCAACUUCUUCCUCUCCAUUGGAGCAUGCUUUGAAGGUAAGCUUCAAAACCCUUUAAUGGUAUCUCUUUGUAGUUUGGGUUUUAAGCUUCAAGAAUGGAUUUAGAGUUAUUCUAGCAUGCUAAAUAGAUGAUUAUUGCUAGAAUCUAGGAUCAAUUUAGUGAUUUAUUGCCUAGUUGUAACCUAGGGCUCUAAAGUGCAAGUUUUGCUACUAGUAGGGUUUGAUCUCAUUUAACCCUCUGUAAACCUAAUUGAUAGGUCACUGAACGCGUUGGAAGCGACGGUUCGGCGNUUGCUUGGGUUUUAAGCUCUAGAAACGAAUUAGUAGCUUUCCUAGAUGCUAAGUAGAUGAUUUAUGCUUAGAUCCUAAGUUCUAAUGGUGGAUUUUUACCUAUUGCAACAUAGAGCUCCAAAAUGAGGGCUUUAAUGGUAGAUCUCUAAAGAUAGGUCUAAAUGCUUUGGAAAUGGUUUUAGUGGAACCCAUUGAUGCCUAAUAGAUGGUUAAUGCUUGAAUCAUAGAGCAAUUUAAUGAUUUCUUGCAUAGUUGUAAACCUAGGGCUCAAAAUGCUAACUUUCAAAAUAUGAGGGUUUGAUCUCUUUUAACCCUCUGUUUACCUAAUUGCUAGGUCUACGAACGCGUUGGAAGCGACGGUUCGGCGAUUCGUUGAGCCGGUACAAAGAUAUUAAAGAAACGGACGUUAGGCUUCGUUUCCGCCUGGAGGGCCGAGGCGACGUCGUAAAAUCCUGAAAACGGAUUUGAAGCAUCGUACCAAGAAACCGAAGACCUUUAAUUUUCAGAUUGCGGAUCGGAGGUCGUUUGGUGGUCGCGCGCGGAUUGGGUCAAGCCGAGCGGCGUGCGCCGCGGGAGGCCGAUUGCAAGUGACGACAAGCAAUCGGAACGCGAUAAAAGGUGGGGGAGUGCCAUCCCGAAGUCAUCGGGCUUCUUCCUAUGUCUUAGUAUUUAUCCGUUCACAUGUAGCAUAUUGUAUGUUGCUAUGCAUUAUAGGAUGACAAUACAUGCAUUCCUAAUCCUUAUAUGAUGUUUAUGAUCAAUAUAGUAUUAUGAUAUGGAUAUAUGAUGUGAUGGACAUAAGGAUUAUGAGGUGACAUUGGUAAACCUAUGAUGCUAAAUGAAAGAAGAACCUAGUGUUGUGUUUAAAGACAUAGUUUACAAGUGGCAUUGAACUCAUUGUGCUAAAAACACAUAUGACUUGAACUAGUAAUGGAUUGGUUGUUGUACUAGAAACUCUAGUAACAUUGAUCAAGUUGCAUAUUGGGAUAUUGCAUUAUAGGGUACUAGUUGGCAAUUGUUACAUGUCAUGGCAUGCUAGUGAGAGUGUAGUGUUACUUGAUUAAUACUUGUACCUAGUAUGCAUGAGAUUGGGACUUAGUGUGGUGAAACCCUAUAAGGGCAUGAUUAAUGUGGGUUAAACUUGUUGAGUGCAUUAAUCGAUUAAGUUGCAUAUUGUAUUUAUUGCACUUAGGUGCUAGAUGAUUAUGGUCAUUGCUCAUAUUUGCAUGCUAGUAGCUAUACAUCUUGAUGAUUGUUCCAUGAUCUAGUAUGCAUGAUGAUUACAUGAUGAAAACCCUACAAUGAGAACCUAGACCCUAUAUGUGAGAUGAUUAAUGCUUAUAUUGCUAAAGAACUAGUAUGAUGUAACUAGUGUUGAAAUGAGUCUAAAUGACGAGUGGCAUCUAGUUUAGAAAACUAUGAUGAGUGGCAUGUGAUUGUUGAUAACCUUGACAUGAGAACCUUAGUGUAGUUGAAACACUAUGAGAUUGGGUACAAGAACACCUUGAUUCCAUGAUGAGAUUACCCUUAGAGGGUAGGUUGCUGUUGCUCGUGAGAUGAUCACGCUUACAUUGCCUGUCUGCGCUUGGUGGGGUCGCUCCCCCCAGGUUGUGCGCUCCGGAGUUUGGUCACUAGAGAGGCAGCCGUGCUCGCUGCUCGGAUAGCCGCUUGUUAUCCGCAGGCGUACUCGGGGAUAGUCCAGCUCGACAUCCCUAGGAGAUUGAUAUGUGAGCCUUGCUUGUGAACCACGAGUUCACCUUGAGAUUGGGUUACCUAUUGAGCCAUACCCAUUAUUGUUGUUCAUGAUAGCUUGCUUCCAUAGUUGUUGUUGUUGUUGUUCAUAGUAGCUUACUAGUGUUCAUAGUAGCUUACUUAUUGCUCAUGCCUUCAUGAUAUACUAUUCCUUCACCUAUGAGAUUUGAGUACCUAUUGAGUCAUACUCAUUAUUGUUGUUCAUGAUAGCUUGUUUCCAUAGUUGUUGUUGUUGUUCACCUUUGAGAUAUGAGUCGAGUAGACCAGAAUGAGGUAGCUUUUCACCUACUAGAUUUGAGAUCUUAGGCAAAGUAGCCUAGCGGAUUGGGUAAUAACAUGAAUAGCAUAAGAGUAUUGCAUUCAUACCAUGAUUAGACAUAGUGCAUUGCAUAACUAUGUUAUAGUUGUAUUCAUUUCACUGUUGAGGCAUAUUAGCAUGAUAGUAGAUUGUUGCUAGAUGAUGUUCCAUGCAUACUUUGCAUUUGAUGGCAUAGUAGAUAUAGUAGUAGUAUUUCCAUAUAUCUUUCUAUCUAUCUAUCUGUGCCAGCUUGGACCUAGUGGGAAGAUCGGCGGAGUCGGCGGCCGAACCCACUGGGAACUAUAUUUAUAUAGUUCUCACCCCGUGUGGUUUUGGGGUACAGGUACACAUGAGAGCGGAUCGACAGAGGAUCGCAGUUUGGGCUUAGCGCCCUAGUGCUAGUUGAUAGUUUACUCUCCUAUUUUGCAUUAGAGUUACCCUAUACAUGUAUUGAGAGUAGAUGAUGUAUAGGAUGUGAGGUAUUUUGAGAUAAAUGUAAACUAAUGUUUAUCUUUUGAAGAAUGUAAGCUUAUGUUCAUAGUUUGGAAAAGAAUGCAAGUUGUAAUUAAAUGUAUCGAGUUGAAUGGUUGUAAUAGAAUAGUUAAGUAUCUCUCUUUUGUUUCACUUGUAUGUCUUCUACUUGUGACGCUUGCUCUUGUAAUGUUCAGCACUGUUUGUGCUCUCGCUGUUGUCGCAUGAUCAUGUAUGUAUUCAAGUUGAUUUCCUGGGGACUUGUUGUACAUGAUCUCGUUGUUUAGCCUUGGGCGGACAGGGGAGACUGUCCGUUCGGCGUCCGUUCGCCGCGCCCGAACCGUGCCAAAUCGGUAGCGGCCUCGGGGCGGGGACGUGACAAGUUUCGUGAAGUAAGUCGGAGUCUUGAAGGAUCGAAGCGGAUUGAUGAAGAUUGAAGAAUUCAAAAUUUUGAAGAUUUUGGAAAAUUGCUCACAAUGUGAAUCACGACGUAAAGGUAGAGUUUUACUUUAUGUUAUGGUGAUUCAUACUUAGUUAUAGGCAUUAGAAUCAUAAACUCAAAGUUUAAUGGAUUAGAAAGUGCCUCGGAACGUUGAAAAUCCGAAACAAUGCAAAAUCUGAAAAAAUGCAUUGUGUACCGGUACAGCAAGUGCCACGUACCGGUACAGCCAUCAACAUUGGCAAUGUAUUUUUGUUCCGUCAUUAUGUACCGGUGACAGCCUUUCGUGUACCGGUACACAGUGUAAAAUCGUGAAAACUUUAUAAUCCUACUCCGUUUUGAUUCUAAAGUCUAUAAAUAAGCUAUAGGGGUUCUCUAACUGAUCAAGCAUCAUAAGAAUACAUGUUUGAGAAACCCUAGAGGCUCGGAUUUCAUUCUAAACCUAUUUUCUACAAAUUAGCCUCUUUAGAUCAAAUCGAGAUAUCGUUUCGCAUUCUCUAUAUUUCGAUUUGAUCUCCGCUUCGCUUGGAGUUCUAUUCCCUGGUUUCUACUAUACUCCUAAGCGAAGGAUCACCAUAAUCAUGAUGCUCUUCAUGAACGGCGUCGUGGAUUCGGCGUGAACGAAGGCUGUUCGUGAAUUCGGAUCGUGGGCUCGUGGAUUCGAGUGGCGUCGUGGAUUCGACGUGAUUGAAGCUUCGUGGAUUCGAAGUGGAGGCGUUCGUGGAUUCGGACGUGAGGGCGUGGACAACCCGAAAGAUUGCGCGAAGAUUCAUAGGAGGUUAAGAGAGGUUGAGUCCGUGGUGUCGGUAAUCACCUUGUAAUCUUUUCUCUUAGUGAAUUAUUUUUUCACGUGUUGGUCCCGUGGGUUUUUCUCCAAGUUGGAGUUUUCCCACGUAAAUCUCGGUGUGCUUUUUAUUUUCCGCAUUUAUUUUUAUUGCAUCGAGAUUUGUGAUUUUUGGCCUUUCACCUAUUCACCCCCCUCUAGGUGAUAGAUACAAUCUAGAUAGAUCUUUGGGCUCCUCAAAACUUUCAGUGCUGAUCGCACUGGCGUGAUCCGUUCGCAAAUCUGACGGACGGAUCUGCGGAUAAUGCGCGUUGUUUGUGGAGGGGUCUUAGAUGGCAAAACGGUAUUCUUGCGAAAAGUGCGACAUUUUAUGUACUGUUCUGCGUGAAACCGGAUUGGGAGGUGUGUUCCCGCGUUUUACACGCACUGUGAGGGACUCAGUAUUAAUACUGAGGUUUGGUGUGAGGGAAGCCGUCGCGCAGCCGCCAUCUUCCUCCCUCUCUAUCUCUCUCUCUUCUCUCGGUUGAGAGGAAGCUCGAGGCUGAAACGCCUCCAGGCUUUUCCCCAGAGUCAUCCCGGAGCCCCGGCGUCCCUCCCCGCCGACCGUCGUCGCCUCUGCGCGCCACCGCUGCCGCUGCUACAUCCUGCAACUAGCUUGGCCGAGCUCAGGCCGAGCAGACUGUGCGGCCUCACCCUCGCGUCGCCGCCGCCCUCGGCCACUCCUGUGGAACCCCUCCGACCUCAAGCGGUCAGUCGCCGCCGCCCCGAGCUGCCCUGAGCGCCGUCGCGCAACCGCAGCAACUUGCUGCCAAGCUGCUGCAGGUACGGUCGAGCCUCGCAGUGCCGGGCUCCCUGCCGCCGGUCGUCGUCCCAGACCUUCCCUUUCGGUCCCAAAGGGACCCCGCAGUGCCCCUCCAGCCACCCCGACCCUCGCCGUGGCCGGAGAAGCUCGCUGAGCCCGAGCUUCUUCCUUGCGGGCUUGGCUUGCUCCGCCGAUGCCGCCGCCGCACCUCGCCGCCGUCCAAGGUGAGCACCGUACUCCUCCCAUCCCCCGCACCCGCCUCUGGCCCGCGCGUACCUCGCCGUGCCGCCGGAAGCCGGCCGAAGCAAGCUUGCUCCGGCCAAGCCCGAAAUAGGGCUAUUCCUCGGCGGUUUGCUGUUCCGAGCAACCCGAGCCUCCCCGAUCUCUGUGGAAGGGAGCACGAUGAUCAUGCCAAAUUUCUGAUCGUCGUGCUCACCUUACAUUCUGUCGAGGAGACUCUGUUCCAUUGUUUUGGCCGUGUCGACCCUGUGGAGCCUUUUUGGCUGCUGUUGCGGGUUUGCGCGCAUUUUUUCGGUGAUCCGAAGCUGUUCCAAUGCCUCCGAAGGUGAGCACGGUGAUCGUUGGUCACUGCUGAUCACAGUGCUCACCUCACUUUGGAUCAACGGAUUCGGGUUAGUUCUGUUCGGCGUGAUUUUCGCCGACUGCGCGCUGUUUGCAGAAGUUUCGAGUUGCUCCCGCGCCUCCCACAGUGAGCCAUUGUGCUCCGGACCAUGAGCACGGCCUUCGGUAUGUCGAGACCUGUCAGUACACGUCUCGGCAGACCUUGGAAGUCCUCGGUUUGCGUGAAUAAGCCACUUGAUCGUCCAAUUUAUAUAAAAUAAUAGGAUUUUAUGUAAAUAGAGGGACUUUUGCCCAAUUAGGCACCUAGUGGCUACUGUGGGCAAUGUGUAUGCUUGUGUGGUGACCUCUGGACUGAUUGUCCAUGAUCUGAUAGCCUUCGCGGAAAUCGAGAAGUCGAUUUCGGUGCGUUUUUCGGCGAAAUUAGCCGAAAGAACGCGGUUUCAGUUUGGAUUUCUUCCGACGUGGUUUGUUUAUCCUGUGUAUUGUCGCUGAGCCUUGUUGGCUGGUCACCAUCGUCAUUUUGUGGGUUCGGUGAUGAUGGGUGAGCGACGGUGGGUUCAGGUGUCGAAAUAGACGCUUCCGGGAACCCGUAUUCGUACAAUUAUCCGGCGAUAAUUGUGUAGUGGUGUUAUCUUGUGUUUCCUGCCAAGACAUCCAAACAAGAGUGUUUUAUGGCAGCGGGUGACUCGUGACACGAGUCGGUGAGUUUCGGGACACUUAGUGGGUCCCGACGGCAUCCCGACGUGGUUUUCGGGACUUCCGGUAAGUUAUGGUGAUCGAUUUUGGGAAACCGAUUCGGGGACUUGUGUGGGGGUUUGUGAGUUGUGUACUUCAGGUUAGUGGUUUGGAUACUGACUUAGUGGAUCUUCUUAGGUCCGGUAGACUCCGUGCACACUCAGUGUUCCGACGCGACAGUGACAGGUGGGUGCUUCGAGCUAGUAGUCGGUGAGAUCGUUUCACCCUUCCUCUGUUCUUUCAUAUCAAUAUCGUAGUCUCUACAUGUCAGUUGAUUGUUUAUCGUUUCUUUAUCGUAUCUCUUUGAUUGCAUUUGGAUAGUUGUGGAUAGACAUGUAGAGCAGGUUGCAUAUAUAUUGUAUCUCUGUGGACCUUGGGUCCAGGCAACACAUCGACUCCUUAUCGUGUGUUUCGAUCUGGUUGAUCGUGGUUUGACGUUGUACGCCUUUGUACCUGGCUUCGGCCAAGGCACUGGUCUCUUUUUGUCGGUUUUCGUUUUGAGCAUAUCAGCAUGAUUUAGUCACAGCACUGUGUAUUCUAUACACUAGGUUGGUUUGGCCACCAACCAAGGGGUGUACGUAUCCAGAUAGGUCAUCGAUGACGCAUGAAUAAGUUGGCAGUGUCUACUCUGUGACAGGCAACGCUUGAGGUCUGUGGACCAAUAUAGCAGCAUCAGAUUGGGUUUGAUUUUGGACCAUUUACCCUUGAGGCAUCCGUUUAGUUGAGUUUUUGUUACUGUAGUAGUUUCGUUCUUGCUAAGUUAUUAUCCUGUUUCUAUUACUACUGUAGUUGCUCUUAUAUCAUGUUCAUAUCUGUUAUAGCUACUGUAGUUUGUUUUCGUAUAUCAACAUCUACACUUGUUUGUCUAUCUCCUUUGGUUUUCGUGAUUACGGCUUGCCUUCGUGGCUCUGUCGUACCCACUAGGAAACCAUGGUUGCGGUUUCUCACACCCAUUCCCCCCAGGUGACAUGGACGAGGAGUUGGAUUUUGGGCUCGAUGGGAGGACGAUCUAACUAGUCUGGUAUAGCAACUGUCACCCUGAUUACUUUCAUUUCGGCACUUAGUAGUUUUAAUAAUAAAUAGUUCAGUUAGAUGAUCAUAUUGAUGUUUGAAUAUUUGUGAAUUAGUUUUAGUGGAUGAUUUACUAUGAUGCACGAGAUUGGAGUUUUCAGAUCUGUGGAUUUUGGUUCUCGUAUUUAUAGAUUUACGCAUCGUGGUUUUCUACCCCUCGAGGUAGCUGGUUUUUAAAAUAGAGUUUCCAUGUGGAAAAUAAUUUUAAAAAGGUUUUCGAAUCGUUUUCAUGGAUGAUUGAAUUAGAAUUUAAAAAUAAAGCUUCCGGGUGGGGAGCACUUUUAAAUAUGAUGAUUGUUGUACUGUGCAUUGCAUCAUCCAGCGCCUAAGGAGUGUUUAGAGGCAUGCAUCAUCUCUAAGGAUUGCUAGCUGUAUGCAAAUACAUAGCAUGAAUUAUUUGUUAAUUGGUAAAUGUAAACUGUGGUUGUGAUCCUGUUGAUGUUGUUGGCACGCCGUGCAAAUACAAAGGAGACUCUGUCCAAGUGGAUGGAAGAACUUUGUAUUUGUGGCAGGUUUGUACGUCACUUGGGCAAGGUUGAAAAAAAUAAAAAAUAAAAAAUAAAUACGGCACGUUUUCCGCAACUCUGAUUUCAAAAUGGUAAUGAAUUUUAAAAAGGCUUUUAAAAUUGGCCCCGGGGUGUGACAUCUAAUUUUAAUGUCAUCUCUAUAUCCAUCUUCACCAUAAGAAAAUAAUAAAGGAUACUGCAUUGGAAGAUAAGAUGGAUGUAGUUCAUGUAUUCGUUAUAAUAAGCCAGUUUGAGUUUCGACUACAAUAUCUGUUUCAACAGUGUUCUUUUCAAUAUCUCCAACAAUAAGAGCCGCCACUUCAGAUGAGGUUGGAAGAUUGUAUCUUCUUCCAUCAGUUCCUCUUUUUCUUAAUAGCCUCAAUUUUAAGUCUUGAUACUCUUCUACCACAAAUCUAUCUCUUACCAUUCUGAAUGAUUUGGCUAAACAAUUGCAUUCAUCUAGCAUACUUUUGAGCUCGUUAACAAUUGUGGUGUCAAACUCAUCAGAACUUCUACUUGAACUGCAAAAUCAUUUUAAAAAAUCACUAUCAGGAUUAUACAAAACAUGCAUGCUUUUCAUAUUAUUUAUAACUAAACAACAUAAUUUCAUAUUAUAGAGAUGAUACUUUCAUAUCUUAUGGCACUUAUUCUAUUUAAAACUUCAUUUUCUGCAUCAUAAACGUAGAGCUGCGCAAAUCUCGGACGCGAGCCUUGAGUUGGAAGCAAACUUCCAAUUAUAUGACAAUUUUGGCCAUGUAGUUUAAAUACGUAUGGCCCCCCUCCCUGAUUUAUUGUAGAGUCAAUUUUUCCUCCCAUUGACGUAAAUGAGAACAUCAUAUUGUAAGAUCUGAUCUUUUUUAAAAAGUGAUUGCUUCUGGAGUCUCUGUUAUGCAAUAAAUUAUUGAGUGUAGAAGGUGGAUCUUUGAGCAAUGGCAGUUCAACUUUUCCUUGCACGCAACAUAGAGAAUAUCUCGGCCUAGUUAAUCUCGUCCUUCUCUAACCUUUCUUCAUACCAGAACAAUGCACCGCAAAAUUCACAUGCAUAAGUAGGAUCUCCCAAAUUCCAAUAAUCUAAUAACAUGUCAAGUAUAAAAAUACAUUACACAUGGGGCAAUGUUGGGAAGUACCUUCUUUUAUAUAUGAAGCAUUAGAGCAAUAACGUUUAGAAACUAUGGACCAGACCCGUAGGGAAAAAGUUAAGUUAAUACCUGUUGCAUCCAAAUUGUACUGUGACUCUUCUUCAUCAACAUCAACAUCAAUAUCUAUAAUUUUAAAAUAACUUGAAAUUAUAAAAUGAAUACAAUAAUUAAAGUUUGAAAAUAUAUUUUGAUAAAAAUGAAAAUUUAAAAUUGAACUGCAAUAGAAAAAAAUUGUAACCAAUAAAUACAUAAAUAAGUCUUUAUACUAAUCACAUGAUUAUUUAAAUAAUGUAUAAACUUAUUUAUCUAUCGUAAAGAACAUGAAAUUUUUAUGUGCUUGUGUCAGCAAAAAAUAUACUCAUGUAAUUUAAUGUACACGAUUUUUUUUCUUAUCAUUAGAAAAAAUUUGAAGAUUGAGAAUAAGUGAAAUGAUUGUUUGUUUGUUCUUUUUUUGCUUUUUGGCAAAAAGUGAGUGAAUAUAAAUAAUAAGAAACCAAUAUUAUAAGAGUUAGUUAUAGUUAAUAGAUUCUCACAUGCUGCAUGCUUUUGGAUCUUAACGCACUUUUCACUCAUAAUUAAACUUCUCUUCAAUCUCGCAUUCUUUUUCUGCAUAUAAUCGAUAGAGGAACUUACAAAAAAAUAGUAUCCAACAAAAAAAUGACACCAAUCUUUUUUUUUGAAAGUAAAUCAUAUAAAAAAAUAUGUGAAAAAUAAUCAUUCACUUACAUCAUAAUUAUAACAGUACUUGAUCUUAAAAAUCAAAUAUAACAUCAAAUACACAAUAAAGAAUGGGUCCUAACAUCAAACAUCAAAUACUUCAAUUACUAAAUCUCAAUGGUAUAUGUUCACCACUGUAUAUCCAUUUUGUGUAUUGAAAAUUAAUAUAGGUAAAAAGACAUAACUUUAUCACUAUGCCACCCUAUUUUAAGAAAGAUUAAACUAAAUAUAAAAUAAUUAUCUACAUAAUAAAUCUAGGGUUGUAUAAUUUUGAAUAUAAUUUGAAGAUGAUAACUUUAUCAUUAUCCAAGAAAAUACCUUCGUCAACAAUGUGGUUGGCACAGAAUCCAAGAUGAUUAGGACCUCUAGUAUUAGCACCAUCUUUUAGAUCUUUGUCAAGCAUUGAGAAUUCCACAUCCUUAUUAGCAUUCCAUGAAAGUGACUCUAAUACGUUUUUAUCUUGAAUGAUAUGCUUUCCAACUCGGAUUUGGGGAGGGAAAUAUGUGUUUGAGGUAUUCACAUAAUCUGGAUGAAUGAUGGAUGAAAAAGAAGAGUAGGUAAUUGAUGUCCUUUCGAAAUGAUGGGUAGAUCGUUUAUCACCAUUAGAAAAGCAAAGCACAGAAUUAGCUGAAAGACAAAAUCAUAUAAGUAAGCAUUUUGCAGCAGUAACCAUAGUAAUUAUAUCCAAACUAACGAAUAAAGAUACUCACAAUUUGAAAUAUCACUCGGAGGAGUUCUUGACACGCUAAUAUUGCUCACCAUAUGGCUCAAAUUACUCUCAAGAUUUUGAGAACCAUUAGAAUUCGAGAUAGGCACUAGAAUUAGAUCUUGAACAAAGAAAGGUAGAUAAAAAUGUCAACUUAAGUGGAGAAAAAGAAUUAUAUUGGUUGUAAAUAAAAGUCAAUAAAUAGUAAAGUAUACAUAAAAGAAACCAAAACUUAUCAAGAGCUUACUUUCACAUGGAUAUGAGGUUUUCAUUUUCUUUCCACGCAUGAUCAUUGCCCUUCUAAUCCUUGCUUGNAACAAGAUCUAUACUCUUGAUCUUGAUUACAAGACCCCUAUCAUCAUUUUUUAAAGAGUAUUCAUUUUCUGUCGUUCAUUUUUGUGUCUACUUGAUGGAUAAGAGAACAAUAUCGAAAAUAUAUGAAAUUUGAUUUUUAAACACUUCAAGUGGUAUAGAUUGUGUUCAACGGUGCUGAUCGUCGAUUUGGAGACUCCAUCAUCGAAAACAAAUGGGUGGCAACGGAGCCCGUUUGCUAUCGAUAGUAUUCCAGCUCAACUCUAUCUAUACUAUAUAUAAAAGCGUAUAGGAAUUCUGACAAUGACAGACGGAAUCCAAAAGGGAAUAAAAUAAUAUUCCUUAUGAAUGGUUAUGAUUAAUUUGUUAAAAGUAUCUCAAAUAAAAAUGAACAGUUAUGAGGAAUUCCGACAAUGACAGACGGAAUCCAAAAUGAAUAAAAUAAUAUUCCCUAUGAAUGGUUAUGAUUAAUUUGUUAAAAAUAUCUCAAAUAAAAAUGAGCGAUUAUGAUCAAUCUAUUAAAUCUUUACUAUAUAUAAAAAUCUAUUCUCUAAAAAUGGUUAUGAUCAAUUUGUUAAAAAAAUAUCCCAAAUAAGAAUAGUAAUAAUCAAUCUAUUAAAAAAUAGCAUUCCUAUCCAUCUACAAAUUCAAUCCUACAAACGAUUAUAAUCAAUUUGUUAAAAAAUAUUUCAAAUAAAAACAAACGGUUAUGAUCAAUUUGUUAAAAAAUAGCAUUCAUAUUUAUCUAUUGAUUUGAAAUAAAUUGUAAUAAUUGUUACGUGCAUUUGCAUGUACACUCAUAUAUAUAUAUAUAUAAUUGUGAUCCAUGUAGCAGAUGUCCUUUUAAAUAUAAGUGGAAGGAGUUAUGCACUUACUAAGAAUAUAAAUACACACACACAUACACACACAAUUAUAUAUAUAUAUAUAUGAGUGUACAUGCAAAUGCACGUAAUAAUUAUUUAAAUUUAUUUAAACUCAAUACAAAUUUUUAAAUCAUAUUUAUUCAAAAGUUUAGAAUAAAAUAUUUUUUAAUUUUAUAUGUUAUAUUUGAAAGAUAUGAAUCCCGAUGAUCUAAAAGGUAAAUAACACCUAGAGGGGGGGUGAAUAGGUGUAAAACGGCAAAAACAAAAACUCUCGAUGCAAAUAAAAGAGAUGGCGAAAAAUAAAAACAGCACACCGAGAUUUUAACGUGGGAAAACUCCAAUCCGCAGUGAAAAAUCCACGGGACCGAUCACGCGAAGAAAAUCCACUAAGAAAACUUGAGUACAAGUGAUUUAACCAAAAUACAUAACUCAAUUUACCGAAUUCCCGUUGUUGAUGGUCUUCGCCGGUCCUCGAUCGAUAGGAAUCCUCCAAUCGACAUCGCCGCAACUCCUUGCUGCGUCAACGCCUCAACUCCUCGAAGCGUCCACCGAAUCCUUAGCUUAACGCGAGAUCCACGUGCCGAACCUCCUUCCGGAGCUUGUAUAAUCGAUGAUUUGUGGUGAUUAACACUUAGAAUACCAUAAGCAAUGAGGGUUCACCUUCUAAUCAAACAUCUACUUGAUUCUCGAAGAAUAUCUCGAGUUAAAAUUGAAGAAUCAAGUCGAUCGUUGAUUAUAUGAAACUUGUUAUAUGAAUAAAAUUAUAAGAAUGUGAAAACAAGUUUCUAGGGUUUUAGAACAGUAGAAAUUCAAAGCCUUAACCCAUAUGAUGACCCCCAUGGCUUAUUUAUAGGUUUUGAAGACUUAGAAGUAGACUAGGAUUGCAAAAAGUCUAUUUUAAAAACUGGUGUCGUCCUCAAGGACCGGUCCUCUCGAGGAGACCGGUCUUUGGGAGACCGGUCCCUCGAGUGAGAGACCGGUCCCUCGCUGCGUGACAGAAAACACAACGUUUGGGAACCGGUCUCUCAUGCCAGAGACCGGUCCCUCGCUGCGUGACAGAAAAUCCCAUGUUCGGGAAUCGGUCUCUCUUUCCAGAGACCGGUUGCCUCAACAUCCCACGCAGUGAGGACCCUUGGGGAUCGAUCUCUCAACUCUGGGACCAGUCCCAGAACACUGAAAGUUCAGUUUAAGUGUUUUAAAGCAAUCUAAGUCUUCUGAACUUAUUGUAAUUAGAUAAAUUCACCACAAAUGAUCUAUUCUUCAUACCUGAGGUGCCAAGCUUUCCAAAUGAGUCUUUGCUCUUCAAAUUGAAUCUUCUCUUCAAACUACCGCGAUCAACUCUUCAAGACUCCAUUCGAUUUUACGAAAUCCGCCAACCUAGAAAAUCCUUAACAAUCUCCCCCUUUGGCGAUUUCGUGACAAAACAUAUUACAAUGCUCGUACACAACUCAGAAACAAUAAAAAGAAUAUCAUUGCAAUCACAAAACGACAACCUCCUGCAUGAUCGAUCCAAUAAAAGAAAAAUUACACUUUUCACACAUUCCUAAUACAAACUCUAUAACUUAAACAUGGAGUCUUGAAGUCUUGAAUAUUCCUGCAAAAACAUUCUUAAAACACAAUCAAGAUUCAAGAAUACUUAUCAUAUCAAAAGAUCAAACAUAAACGUCAUAGUCAGUCAUCAUCAAAAUACCAAACAAAGAAUCAAGACGAAUCAACAGUCAUAGUUCGCAUCUAAAUUUACAUAACUAAGCACCAAACAAAAAUGAAGCAUCAUCAUCAUGAGCAGCAUCAUAGUCAGUCAUCACGAGCAUCUCCCUCUUUUUGUCAGAAAGCGCCAAAAUGACACAAGGAGGAACUCCGCAAAACCUAGUCCGAGUCACCACCCGGAGGUAAAUCCGCACUGCAACAACCUAACUUGUCGAAAAUUGCUUGCAUCAACCGUUUGAUGUUGCUCACAUCUUUUUUUAUCACAGCUUGUUCCUCAGACAUCUUCCUCAGCUCCUCAGAUAAACGCUGCUGCUCGCAACACACAGUCAGAAAUCUCCACAGAAGGACGUGAGGAAGUAGGAGCAGCAGGAGGUGGAGAAGGUCGCUGAGACGGACAUCAAAGCUGCACAUACGACUUCACAAACGUCGGCCCACUUAUCCGUCCCAGACUAUGCUCAUAGGAUGUACAAUGCGUAUCCACCUCAUAAAGUCGCAGAAUCCUCAUGAUAAUCAACGGGAAAGGCAACCGCUCAUUCUAACCUGAAGUCUUAAUAUCCUUUGCCAUUCUCCGCCAAAUUAGAAACGGGAUGUUCAAAUUGAUAUUCUUUGCCUUAACAAUAUCCGGCUUACCCAACAAAUACAUGUAGAGGAUACGAUCCUAUCUCAAAAUCUUCGUGUUUGCAAGGUGCAAAAUGUUAUAGCAAACCACGAAGUUCAAAAACCUGUACUCCAUCUUGAAAUCCUUAGACAAUACCAUAAUCCCGUUUGAUUCUGUACCCGGCAUGCAAAUAGUAUUCACAAUACGAUUCCAAUCCCGAAGUGAGUCAAAACCGGCCUGCAGAUACUCAACUCCCUCAGUACGAGCAUCCAUCCCCAGUACAGAUGCUAUCGUAUCGGGCGUGAUAGUCAACUCGACGCCACGUACCGAAGUGGUGAACAUGUACGGGCCGCCGUCAGAGUCACUCAAAUGUCCCGCCCGCAUAUAGAAUUCUCUAAUAAGCUCUAGGCAGAAACCUGUUUGCUCUGAAAAAUUGCAAAUCUCAUGCAAAUUACCAUGUUCAAAUAAAUCUUGAAAUUCCGAUACACGCUCAAUGAUAUUUGCGACGCUUACAUCACGUUCACCAAUGCAGUGCUUUGAGGAGUACAUAGAUCGUCGGCGGGAAUCAACGUCCUGAACAGAAUAUCGCAGAAGCUCAGAAACUGGCUCUCUAAUGUCGACACCACCUGACUUCCUCCGACCUCCUGUAUCAGCCCCUUGAUCUGCGGCUUUGCCUUUUCCCUUUUCAGCACCUCUUCCUUUCCCUUUUUCUUUUCCUUUUCCUUUCUCUUUGUCCUUUUCAGUGAUUGCGAGAGCUUUACCCUUCUUCUUCGAAAGCACUUCAGGAGUAAGUGCCUCCCAAUCGCGCUCAUCAGACUCAGAUUCUUCGCCCGGAGCAUACUCGCUCCCCUCGUCCUCCGGGUGAUGCUCAACAGGUCGCUUAGUCCAAGACCAUUGACGUUUGCUGCCGCGACCACCACCGGCCAUAAGAACCACAAUAACAAGUAGCCACGAGUACAAUAUCUAAGAAGCCCAUGUUAAACACAAUGAUUUAUACAUAUUGAACAUAAAAACAAUUGUUUUUUAUUCCAAAAACUUUAGCAAGUUCAUAUGUAAUAUGCUAGAUAAUCCUAGGGCCACAUAAUCAUGAAAAUCAUGGACAAAUUAUGCAACAAAAAUCAGUAAAAUCACAUUUUUUCGAAAAAAAUUGAAAAAUUAAGGUUUUGAUGGUGAAGACUUAGUAAAAUCAACUAAACAAUUGCAAAAAAAUCCUGAAUAACAUGUUUAGAGGUAAGAACAGGGCAAAAAUGGAGAGAUCCAACAACAUUAUGAGAUCAAACCCCAAAAAUCUGAAAAUAAAGCACAAUUUCGGAUUAUAAGGCAACAAAGAAAUAAAAUCCGAAACUCUUACCAAAAACACUUGUAAAUCCACAGAAAAAGGAAGAAAAUCACCCUGGGGAAGUUAGAAGCUCGGGAGAGAAGUUUGAUGAGAUUUGGUAAAGUAAAAGAAAACAAACCGCAAAACCCUUAUAUCGGUUUGGGCGGAGGGACCGGUCUCUCCAAGGCUGGGACCGAUCCCAGAGCCAAAACCCAAAAAAUUAAUUUAGGUUCAAAAUUUUUCAAAAAUUUUAUAUAAUAUCCUCAAAAUGUCCAACACCAAAAAUACUCAAUUUCCAUCCCCAAUGACUUCCAAUAAAUAAAUUUUGAAAAAAUCAAUUUCAAAGUCAUUCAAUUUGUCAAAAAUUGUUGAUCCGAGAAGCAAAUAAAAUUCUUAAUAAGUAUCGAAUAAAAUUCCACACAUCAUGCAAGAUCUAGGAAUUAAUUGUAUCGUUUUAUCAUCAUAUUUGUUAAAAAAUUGAAUAAAUAAAUCUCAUAAUCGUGAAAUUAAAAUAAUACCCUCAAUUUGAGUUAUGCACAUUAUUCGAGAGAGGAGUGGCUCUUUGAGCAUCUUUUGACAAACCACCUUAUAUCGCCUAGGAGAUGUAUUAAACAUAUUAUUAGAAUUUUACUAUCUCCACAACAUCUCAUAUUUAUUUAUUCUUUAUUGCCUUUUAGCUUAUAGAGAUACUUUGAUCAUCAUGUGGUAGCUGCACACACUAACCGGACGACCGGGGUGGUAGCUCUUUCCUCCAUGUGGUGGUAGUUUUCACACUCCCAGCAGGGAUGUAACUCUUUCCACAUCUUUUGAAUUUAAAAAAUUUUCAUAACUGGAAAGACUCCUCCAAAAUUAGUGCAACCCUCAAGCCAAAAAUAUUAUCUCAAUUUCAAAAACAGAGAAAUAGUUAUUCAUCUCAUAGCUAAUAAUCAAACAAACCGAUUGCAACAAUCAAAGUUCGAAGCAUGAGGUGUUGAAUUUAAUUCAGUAUACAAAAACAGAAUUUCAAUGAUUUAGUCGUUCAAAAAUUAUGACAAUAGAGAAUAACAUUGACAGUGAUCAAUCAAAACAUAAUAUGAAACAAUUAAAGUCAUAUGAUAGAGCUAACAAAAUCAUGAAAUUCACAGCGACACCAUCCAUGAAGAUCAAUCAUCUCUCAAAAAUAAUCAGGAAAAACCAAAAACAUGCACAGAAACAAAAUGGAAUAUGCGCAUGAUCUAUGGCCCAAUAGAAUGUAUCUAGAUUGAAGGAUUCAUACCAAUAGCCUUUCUUAAAUGUAGAAAACGUUCUUGAUCCAAAGGCUUAGUUAAAAUAUCCGCGAGUUGAUUUUCAGUUGAAAUAUAUUCAAGUUGAAGAACGUUUAAUUCAACCAAUUCUCUUAAAAAGUGAUAUCUUAGUUCAAUAUGCUUUGUUCGUGAAUGUAAAACAGGGUUUUUUGAAAUAUUAAUAGCACUCGUGUUGUCACAUAGAAUUGUAAAAGUGGUGGAGGAGAUCCGAUAAUCACUCAAUAAGCUUUUCAUCCAUAGUAACUGUGUAGAGCAACUACCGGCCGCAAUGUAUUCUGCCUCAGCAGUGGAGAGUGCAAUACAGUUUUGUUUUUUACUAUGCCACGCAACCAGACAGUGGCCUAUAUAAAAGCAUGCUCCACUGAUGCUUUUUCGAUCAUCUGCAGAACCGACCCAAUCCGCAUCCGAGUAGCCGAUUAGGUCCAAAGACGUCCCCAUCGGAUACCAUAGACCAUAAGCGGUUGUACCUUUAACAUAUCGUAUGAUUCUCUUAACCGCUUUCAAAUGAACUUCCUUCGGAUUAGCUUGAUAGCGAGCACAAAUUCCCACACUAAAAGCAAUAUCCGGUCUACUUGCGGUCAAAUACAGUAAACUGCCGAUCAUACUUUUGUACUGUUUCUCAUCCACACUUUGUUCUUCAACAUUCACUCCAAGUCCUUUAUUACUUGUUCCCAUUGGUGUAUCAAAGUUCUUUGCUCCAUCCAAACCGAAUUUCUUAACCAAUUCCUUUGCGUACUUAGUUUGAGACAAAUGAAUUCCUUCCUUUGAUUGUUUAACUUGAAGACCAAGGAAAUAUGAAAGCUCACCCAUCAUAGACAUCUCGAACUCACUAGUCAUCAACUUUGCAAAUUCAGUGGCAACUGUAUCUUUAGUUGCUCCAAAGACAAUGUCAUCCACAUAAAUUUGUGCCACUACAAAGUCAUUUUUAGUGUGUUUUACAAAAAGAGUUCUAUCCGCUCCCCCUCGGUUGUAUCCCUUUUCUAAAAGAUAUUUUGUUAAUCGUUCAUACCAUGCUCGCGGUGCUUGUUUGAGUCCAUAAAGUGCCUUUUUAAGACGAAAAACAUAAUUUGGAAAUUUAGAAUCUAAAAAACCCUUUGGUUGUUCCACAUAAACUUCCUCUUUUAGAAAACUAUUCAAAAAUGCACUUUUAGCAUCCAUUUGAUAAAGAGUAAUUUUAAAAUGACAAGCUAUCACGAACAAAAUACGAAUAGAUUCGAGACGGGCAACCGGGGUGAAGGUUUCAUCAAAAUCAAUCCCCUCAAUUUGUGAAUAACCUUGAGCAACAAGUCUAGCUUUAUUUCGAACAAUUGUACCAUCCUCAGUUUUCUUAUUUUUAAAAAUCCAUUUAGUACCAAUAACAUUUUGUUGCUCAGGGCAUGGCACUAAUUCCCAUAUAUCAUUGCGGGUGAAUUGGCCAAGUUCUUCUUGCAUGGCAUUUAUCCAAUAUUCAUCAAGAAGAGCUUCGUCAAUAUUCUUUGGCUCAAUUAGAGAAACAUAACAUGCAAAUUCACAUUGAAGUUGACUUCUACUUCGCACACCAACACUUGGAUCUCCAAUGACAUUCGAUAAAGGGUGAUCUCUUGACUCUCUCAGGGGUGCAGUCUCAGAUGAUGUACUAGGUAUUUCAGAUGAGAUGCUUUGAGGCUCAGAUGACUCAUUUGAUGCAACAUUUUCAGAAGAUGCAAUGGGAUUAUCAAAUGUAGAAACAUCAUCAUUCACAGGCAAUACAAAUAGAGAAUCAUUAUCAUCAUCAUUCAUCAACGCAUUAGGAGAACCAUUCACCGAAGAACUUACAGAAGAAGCUUCAUCUACUUUUAUAUUGAUAGAUUCUAUCACCGUCUUAGUUCGUAAAUUGUACGCACGAUAAGCACGACUUGUAGUAGAAUAACCGAGAAAGAUCCCCUUGUCACUUCGGGAGUCAAAUUUUCCAAGAUUUUCACAAUCCCGAAGAAUAAAACACUUACUCCCAAAGACACGAAAGUAUUUAAUAUUAGGUUUCCUACCAAGCCAAAGUUCAUACGGAGUAUUCAAGGUACUCGAACGCACAUAAAUCCGAUUGAUAAUAUAGACGGCCGUGUUAACCGCUUCAGCCCAAAAAUGCGAAGCAAUUUUCUUACUAUGAAGCAUAACACGUGCCAUCUCUUGUACAACCCGAUUUUUGCGUUCUACCACUCCGUUUUGUUCGGGUGUAUAAAGAGCCAAGAAUUCAUAUUUUAUGCCAUUUGAAACACAAAAAUCAACAAAUUUUGAAUUUAUGAAUUCUCCCCCUUGAUCACUUCGAAUACGUACAAUUUUAUCGUUACGCUCAUUCAUAAGACGAAAAUAAAUCUCAGAAAAAGAAUCAAAAGUAUCAGCCUUUUCACGUAAGAAAGCACUCCAUACAAAUCGAGUAAAAUCAUCAACAAUAAGCAGGAUAUAACAUUUUCCACCCAAACUUUGAAUACUUGAUGGUCCCAUCAAGUCCAUGUGAAGUAACUCUAACGGUUUAAAUGUCUCUAAGUGGUUCAAAUUCUUAUGUGCGGAUCUAGUUUGUUUCCCCAAUUGACAACCCCCACACACAGUGUUCUCUUUGAAGUCUAUCUUAGGUACACCUCUAACAACCUCCUUCUUAGUUAUUUUAGAUAGUUUCUUAAAGUUCAUGUGACCUAGUCAUUCAUGCCAUAAAGUUUCAGUCUCUAAUGUCGCUAGGUUACAAUAUUCAGUUGAAGAACUAGGAACUACAUAACAGUUAUUCUCAGAUUUUACACCUUUUAAGAAAAUAGAAUCAUCACGAGUCACAUUGCAUUCUUUAUCAGAAAAUUUCACAGAAUACCCAUCAUCACACAAUUGGCUUAUGCUUACGAGAUUUGAUUUAAGCUCCUCAACAUAAAAAAUAUCAUUCAAUGUAGGACCAUCUGAGAUAGUGGCAGUUCAUUUUCCAAUAAUUUUCGAUGACCAACCAUCUCCAAAAACAACAAGUCCACCGGAGAUUUUAUUUAAAGAAGUAAACCAAUUUUUAUCACCGGUCAUAUGACGUGAACAACCACUAUCCAGAUACCAAGAAGUGUUAUCGUAAGCAUGAAGCGAGGUGUGAAUGAUAAGGCAAGGAAAGAGUUCACCUUCGCGCACCCAAACCUUACGUGUUUUGGGUUGCGUUGGCCGACUUGAUUGCGAAAUAUGUUGCUUGUCGACGAUUUGAGCAAUUUUCUUCUUAGGAUCAUCCUUCUUCCGUUUCCAAGUUUGCUUUGCAUUUGUCUUUGGAUCUUCCUUCUUUGGUUUCCAUGUUUGUUUGUUCUUAGGAUCAUCCUUCUUUGAUUUCCAUUGUGCCUUCCGAUCCAAGGGUAUAGUGGGGCUCUUAGCCUUUUGUUUGCAAACCCUUUUCACAUGACCUAAAACACCACAAAGAUGACAAAUUUUGUUAGCAAAUGAGUUUUUCGGAGGGAUAAACUUACCAUAAAGCUUAGGAACCGCUUUUGUAGAAUGUUCGUCAUCUUUCUUCAUUGCUUGAUCAAUAUACGUCCGUUCGUAUCCAAGUACAAGUUUAUUUGUUUGACCAAGUCCAAGCAUCUUAUCAAGUUUGCUAGAGCCAGACGAGAAUUGAUUUAAAUCCGAUUUAAGUUGAAUAAUCGUCUUGGUGAAUUCCAUAUUUGCUUCUCUAGCUUCCGAGUAUUGCUUGGUAAGAAAAUUGAUGUUUUCAACAUGAGACUCCUUUUCCUUUUCAAGCAAUGUGCACUUCUCAAAUAAAGAGUCAUAAGACUUAGUCAAACCAUCUUUUUCAUGCUCGAGACUCUUGGUUAGCGACUCUAGUUUCGUGUUCUCUUCUUCCAAUUCGAGCAAUCUUCGCAGCAAUUUUUUAUUGUGCUUGGCCAUCUUCUUUGACUCGACAACCAAUUGAUGAUAUGCGGCAACCAUAUCAUCUUCAUCCGAUUCUUCAUCCGAUGAAUUCUCCGACGUAGAUUUUUCUUGCAUAGACGUCAUAGAGAUAGAAUCUGUAGAUGCUAAACACAUAAAAGAGUCAUGUGCAAUAAGUGCCGUAGCGUUAACAUCCUCAUCACUUGAAGAUGACUCACUCGAAGACGAGUCAUNAAGAGAAAAAAAACAGAAAAGGAAAAGACAAAAAGACAAAAAAACAAGGAUGAUAGCCGCAGGAAAAAGCGAUGAUACGAAGGAAGGAGCGCGAGACAACUUCGACGGUGGGGCUGGGAUUAUGCGAGAGGGAGAGAUAGCAAGAGUUUAGUACGCCAUAGGAGCAGUAACUGCGGUAACGACGUGUGGCAGUACAGGAGACGGCGUCGUAGUGGAGACACUAGCCAUGGUAUAGACUCGCUGACUCGGGCACAAUGGCAAAAAUCGCAGCCAUUUCACACCCAUUUCAUCCUCUCUUCUCGAUCACAGUUGUACCCUCGCGACCUCCUCCUUCUCCUCUUCCUUUUGUUUCUCUCUUUUUUAGCUUGGUUUUCCUUUUUCCUCUCUCUUUUCUUCUUAUUCUUAUUAAAACAGUUAAAUGAUUUUUAAGUCUGGAGUAGAGGUUUUAUUUUUUUAAUUUUUCGGAUGAAACGUUUUAAUAUUGGAAGCAUUUAAGAAUGCGUUUAAUCGGAAGAAAAAUAAUUUUAAAAAAUGUGAUGAUAUAUUAAAAUAAAAAAAUAUAUUUUCUUUCGCUUGAGAAAGUUACAAUAUGCUGCGGCCACUACAGUAAGUCUAAGAAGCAUAGAAGAAAAAAAAAAAAAAAAGUUGGAUUAUUUGGGAGUAAGUUAUACUAUUUAAAACUAAAUUGUACUGUCUAAAAUUAAAUUAUAUUAUUUGACAUUAUUUAAAAUUAAGUUGUACUACAAAAAAUGAAAACCAUACUAUUUGAAAAGUUGCACAAAUAAUGUCAAAUAGUACAACUUGCAAUUUAAUAUCAAACAUUACAAUUUUUAUUUUUUAUAGUACGAUUUAAUUUCAAUCACAAAGGUGAUGCUGAGUCGCUCGGAUAUGAUACAAAUCACAGGCUCAGUCGCUCGGAUAUGAUACAAAUCACAGAGGUGAUGCUGCGGCAGAGGACAUGACGGUGUGCAGCAGUGGCGACAAUGACGAGGGUACUGCAUGAUUUGAGAACGAUAGAGAGGGAGAGCAUAUUAGGGUCGGGGUGGCAGCUUCAACAGAGCGCGAGGAAGGAAGCAUAGUAGCGAAAAAGGACGCCGAUAGUAGGAACAAAAAAAAGAAAAACAGAAAAGGAAAAGACAAAAAAAAAAGAAAAAAUAAAAAAAUAUAUUUUCUUUCGCUUGAGAAAGUUACAAUAUGCUGCGGCCACUACAGUAAGUCUAAGAAGCAUAGAAGAAAAAAAAAAAAAAAGUUGGAUUAUUUGGGAGUAAGUUAUACUAUUUAAAACUAAAUUGUACUGUCUAAAAUUAAAUUAUAUUAUUUGACAUUAUUUAAAAUUAAGUUGUACUACAAAAAAUGAAAACCAUACUAUUUGAAAAGUUGCACAAAUAAUGUCAAAUAGUACAACUUGCAAUUUAAUAUCAAACAUUACAAUUUUUAUUUUUUAUAGUACGAUUUAAUUUCAAUCACAAAGGUGAUGCUGAGUCGCUCGGAUAUGAUACAAAUCACAGGCUCAGUCGCUCGGAUAUGAUACAAAUCACAGAGGUGAUGCUGCGGCAGAGGACAUGACGGUGUGCAGCAGUGGCGACAAUGACGAGGGUACUGCAUGAUUUGAGAACGAUAGAGAGGGAGAGCAUAUUAGGGUCGGGGUGGCAGCUUCAACAGAGCGCGAGGAAGGAAGCAUAGUAGCGAAAAAGGACGCCGAUAGUAGGAACAAAAAAACAGAAAAACAGAAAAGGAAAAGACAAAAAAAAGAGAAAAAAUAAAAAAAUAUAUUUUCUUUCGCUUGAGAAAGUUACAAUAUGCUGCGGCCACUACAGUAAGUCUAAGAAGCAUAGAAGAAAAAAAAAAAAAAAGUUGGAUUAUUUGGGAGUAAGUUAUACUAUUUAAAACUAAAUUGUACUGUCUAAAAUUAAAUUAUAUUAUUUGACAUUAUUUAAAAUUAAGUUGUACUACAAAAAAUGAAAACCAUACUAUUUGAAAAGUUGCACAAAUAAUGUCAAAUAGUACAACUUGCAAUUUAAUAUCAAACAUUACAAUUUUUAUUUUUUAUAGUACGAUUUAAUUUCAAUCACAAAGGUGAUGCUGAGUCGCUCGGAUAUGAUACAAAUCACAGGCUCAGUCGCUCGGAUAUGAUACAAAUCACAGAGGUGAUGCUGCGGCAGAGGACAUGACGGUGUGCAGCAGUGGCGACAAUGACGAGGGUACUGCAUGAUUUGAGAACGAUAGAGAGGGAGAGCAUAUUAGGGUCGGGGUGGCAGCUUCAACAGAGCGCGAGGAAGGAAGCAUAGUAGCGAAAAAGGACGCCGAUAGUAGGAACAAAAAAACAGAAAAACAGAAAAGGAAAAGACAAAAAAAAGAGAAAAAAUAAAAAAAUAUAUUUUCUUUCGCUUGAGAAAGUUACAAUAUGCUGCGGCCACUACAGUAAGUCUAAGAAGCAUAGAAGAAAAAAAAAAAAAAAGUUGGAUUAUUUGGGAGUAAGUUAUACUAUUUAAAACUAAAUUGUACUGUCUAAAAUUAAAUUAUAUUAUUUGACAUUAUUUAAAAUUAAGUUGUACUACAAAAAAUGAAAACCAUACUAUUUGAAAAGUUGCACAAAUAAUGUCAAAUAGUACAACUUGCAAUUUAAUAUCAAACAUUACAAUUUUUAUUUUUUAUAGUACGAUUUAAUUUCAAUCACAAAGGUGAUGCUGAGUCGCUCGGAUAUGAUACAAAUCACAGGCUCAGUCGCUCGGAUAUGAUACAAAUCACAGAGGUGAUGCUGCGGCAGAGGACAUGACGGUGUGCAGCAGUGGCGACAAUGACGAGGGUACUGCAUGAUUUGAGAACGAUAGAGAGGGAGAGCAUAUUAGGGUCGGGGUGGCAGCUUCAACAGAGCGCGAGGAAGGAAGCAUAGUAGCGAAAAAGGACGCCGAUAGUAGGAACAAAAAAACAGAAAAACAGAAAAGGAAAAGACAAAAAAAAGAGAAAAAAUAAAAAAAUAUAUUUUCUUUCGCUUGAGAAAGUUACAAUAUGCUGCGGCCACUACAGUAAGUCUAAGAAGCAUAGAAGAAAAAAAAAAAAAAAGUUGGAUUAUUUGGGAGNACUUAGAAUACCAUAAGCAAUGAGGGUUCACCUUCUAAUCAAACAUCUACUCGAUUCUCGAAGAAUAUCUCGAGUUAAAAUUGAAGAAUCAAGUCGAUCGUUGAUUAUAUGAAACUUGUUAUAUGAAUAAAAUCAUAAGAAUGUGAAAACAAGUUUCUAGGGUUUUAGAACAGUAGAAAUUCAAAGCCUUAACCCAUAUGAUGACCCCCAUGGCUUAUUUAUAGGUUUAGAAGACUUAGAAGUAGACUAGGAUUGCAAAAAGUCUAUUUUAAAAACUGGUGUCGUCCUCAGGGACCGGUCCUCUCGAGGAGACCGGUCUUUGGGAGACCGGUCCCUCGAGUGAGAGACCGGUCCUUCGCUGCGUGACAGAAAACACAACGUUCGGGAACCGGUCUCUCAUGCCAGAGACCGGUCCCUCGCUGCGUGACAGAAAAUCCCAUGUUAGGGAACCGGUCUCUCUUUCCAGAGACCGGUUGCCUCAACAUCCCACGCAGGAAGGACCCUCGGGGACUGGUCUCUCAACUCUGGGACCGGUCCCAGAACACUGAAAAGUUCAGUUUAAGUGUUUAAUCUAAGUCUUCUGAACUUAUUGUAAUUAGAUAAAUUCACCACAAAUGAUCUAUUCUUCAUACGUGAGGUGCCAAGCUUUCCAAAUGAGUCUUUGCUCUUCAAAUUGAAUCUUCUCUUCAAACUACCACAAUCAACUCUUCAAGACUCCAUUCGACUUUACGAAAUCCGCCAACCUAGAAAAUCCUUAACAAUAUUUUAUUAGAAAAUAUCUACAAUAUCCUAUAUUAUUUUUUUCAUAUGCAUUAAAUAUUUUUAUAUAUUUUUUAAUUUCUAAAAAAUCUAAGAUUUAAGUAAGUGUUUUAAACUAAAAGCAUCAAAAUUUAAUUGACAUUUAUUUCAAAAUUUAAAAUUUAAUUUUGAUCCAUUAUAUAAUUAAAAUUUUUUAAUUAUUAAUUCAAUUUUGAUAUCAAAAAUAAAAAAUUUAAUUUAAUUAAUGAUUUAAACUCAAAUUUAAAUUUUAAUAUAAAAUAGAUGGAUAAAAGUGCUAUUUUUAUACAGAUUGAUCAUAACCGUUCAUUUUUAUUUCAAAUAUUUUUAACCGAUUGAUCAUAACUAUUCCUAGAAUUGAAUUUAUAUAUGGGUAUAAAUAUUUUUUUUUAAUAAAUUGAUCAUUACCGUUCGUUCUUAUUUGAGAUAAUUUUUUACAAAUUGAUCAUAAAUUUGUACAUCAUAUUAAUUCAGAAAUAUGAUUUACUAUAGUACCAUUGGUUUGAGUUGGUGAGGGGUAGGGAGAUAAUUUUGGUUGGUGGUUAUCCACCCCACCUACCCCCCCUAUAUAGUAUGCACUUGAGAGAUUAAUUAUCUCAUAUUUCUCUUUCUCUCUAAUUUAAGCGUAGCUUGGUGGAAGCCGUGGCUCGAGUUCGGAAAAUUUUCGACGUCGAUUCGGAGGGCCGUUUGAGUGUGCGUGCAUCGCGGUUGCGUCGUUGGAGGCCGGGCGAGCGCGUGAUUUCCUCUCCUUUCGACUUCUCGCCGUAGUUGGACGAGCUUUUCGAGGUGGAUUAAUAUUAUGCUAACCGGAUUCUACGGAUUUCCUCCUAAUUCUAUGUGUUGACAGCAUGUGUUUUUAGCUUCGUUUAGCAUGUUGAUUAGCUUGAUUAUUGGUUUUGCAUGCUUUUGAACCUGAAUUGGAGCUUAGAAUAUUAGCUAAAGUAUGCAUGUUGGACUUGGAUUUGACUUAGGAGGAAACUAACGAUUCUACACCGUCAUUUGUUCAAACUACCAGAUUUAGCUCUAGAAACUGUAGUUUGUUUGUAUUGCCGCAGUUUGUGGGUAGUGAAUACCCAGAAUAGUGUAAAAUAUAUUUACGCUCAUGCUGAGAUGCCGAGUGUAUUUUUACAGCAGUGUUUAGACUGUUCCGGAUUGUCGGGUGCCGUUGAGGUUGACGGUGGACCCAGAUUGCUGUUUUUGAAUCAGAUUGUGCCGAGAGCACGUGAGUUUAGUUGUUAGACCCUGUUUACUUGACUAUAGCCUGUGAGAGCCUGAUUGAGCUCGACAGAGACACGCUUGCAUACUCGAUUGGGUAGCACCCAUGAGUGCCACUCUAGAGUCGAGCUUUGUACUUUUGCGUUGGUGUCGUUUUGUCCUGGUUAGACUUGCUCUCCACUGACGACCUUGUUUGGUGGCUGUUAGUGUAGCUUCGACAUGCGGGACGGGUGUGUUCACAGUCCCUAGUGAGAUUGGGUCAGGAUUUACUUUUUCUACAGAUAGUUAGUGCUGGAUUGAGAUAGUAUAGGUGCAUAUAGCUAUAGAUUUAUUCCAGCUCUCUUUACUAUCCUUGCUUGCAUCUGUGGACUUAGUGGGUGAGCCGUUGAGGUCAGUAGCGGUACCGACUGAGGACUACUUCUUUUUGCAGUAGUUCUCACGCCCAGUUGUUGGAAUCUUUUGCAGAGCCUUCUUCUUCGGCUGCUGCUGCUACUGAGUCUUAUCGUGGAAAGUGCGUUGCGAGUUAGAGCCUUUCCUGACGAGUUGCUGAACUAGAGGAGUACCAGCUACAGGUAGUUGUAGUUUUUGAGUUCUUAUACAUACUUUUGUUGUAUCUCGCUGGGCUAGUAUCUUGUACACUUGGAUUUGAUAUAUGUAUAGUGAACUUCUGUUUUUUAUUUUUAUUUUUUCAUUUCUUCUAGUAGCUCUAUACUACUGGUUGUAGUAUUGUGUGAUUACAGGUACAGCUAUGGCUUCGUAUAUAGAGAAAAUUCUUUUAUAUACGGCGGAUUUGUCGGCGCGUCCGGAAAAACGAGUAAUCCGGAGCGUGACAGAUUAAGUUGGUAUCAGAGCUUAGUAUUAUGUCGUUGGGACCUAGGAACCCUAAGUUUGGCAAACCUUAGGAGGGCAAGACGCGAGAGGCGUGAUUUAUCGUGAAAAUCAAUGAUUAAAUAGUUCUAACUCCUCCUAUAGUGGAGUGAGUGAUUGAAGGAGUGCCUGUUUCGGUCCAGAAAAAUUAUGUUGGCUGCAGACGACAUAAUUUUGAGGAGAAACAGAGGCCGCCUUCUAGACUUUCGCUUGAUUGGGUCGAGAGUGUUUUUGUUUUGUAUCUGACCCUUAUUUCCUUUCUUUGCAGCUAUGUAUCAAAAUCGAGGCCGACCGUCGACGCGGGAUCGUGCCGCACCUCCUGUGAUGCCUGAGCAGGCAGAGCCGAGUGCACGACCAGAGGCGAGCGCACUCCCUGAUCUGAGGGAGCAGUUGGCUGCCUUGACCUAGUUGACGAGGCAGCAGGGGGCAUUGUUACAGAGGAUGUGUGAGAGAUUAGCUCCCCCGCAGAGCACAGCACCAGAGAAGCCAGUUCUACCCCCGACUACUCCAGUGGCAACACCAGCUACAGCAGUACCCCCACCAGCGGCAGUUCCCCUAGUGCCAGUUGCAGCUUUUGGUGAGGCACCGCAGCUGACUGAGGCUGAGCAGAAGCGGAUGGCUGAGUGACUUGCUCGCUUCCGUCGUUUCGAUCCACCGACCUACGAUGGUAGUUGCACUGAGGCUUAGGUUGUCGAGGGCUGGAUCAGUGCGAUGGAGAAGCUGUUUGAGGAUCUGUUCAUUCCUGAGUGGGAGCAGGUACACCUGGGAGUUCAUUGUUUGGCUGGUGACGCCCAUGCUUGGUGGAAGAUGGUGAAGCGAGACUACAGUUUGGUGGCGUCGCAGAUGCGAUGGGAUGAGUUCUGUGGCAUGCUGUAUAGGAUGUAUUUUCCCAACAGUGUAAAGCAGAAUAUAGAGGAGGAUCUAAGGAGGCUUCAGCGAGGGGAUCGACCAGUUAAGGAGUAUAUCCGUGAGUUUACUCGACUCCUGAACUGUGUUCCAUUUGUGGCCAGGGAUGAGGCGCACAGGGUUUAUCUUUUUGAACAAGGAUUGAGGCAAGAGAUUUUCUGGUUAGUUCAAGCGCAGAGGUUGAGGACCUUGGACGCGUCUAUGGAGCAGGCUUUUUGGGUGGAGAGAGGUGACGCUUCGAUCCGUGAGCAGACUCAGUUACAGGGACAGAGUCAGGAUAGGAAGCGCCCGGCAGCAGACGACGGGGGACAGUUGAGAAGCAGGCGUCCGCCCAGACCUCCGCGAUCACGCUCUUAGGGUCGUGGCUCUUCGGGGCGUCAGCAUUCUGGGGGACCUCGUCAGCAGAGGCAGUCGCAGGGGUCGCCGCAGUGUGUGAUUUGUGGAGGACCACACUGGCCUCGACAAUAUGAGCAGCGAGAAGGCCGAUGCUAUGGAUGUGGACAGCCAGGGCAUAUGAGGGCAGCCUGUCCCCGAGCAGCAUCACCAGCACCAUUGUCAGCAUCAGCACAGCCGGUACCUCAGCAGUCUUACGGGGCACCGCCGAGUUACCGCCAGGAGGACAGAGCGUCUGUGUCGCGUAAGGGUGAGCGGCGACAGGGGGCUCCGAGUGGUAAAGUCUACGCAGCUCAGGUGGAGGACUCUACAUCAGCCGAUCGAGUGGUGGCAGGUAUCAUUUUGAUUUUUGGCAUUAGAGCUCGUACUUUUUUCGAUACCGGUGAAUUGCAUUCUUUUGUUAGCCUAGCAUUUGCAUUGUUACAUGGUCUAGAGGUAGGGCCAUCAUUGCAUACACGAGAGGUGCAGGUUCCCUACUAUACUUUGUAGGUGGUGGAUUGUUGUUGGUCGUGUCCAGUGCAGUUAGAUUCGUGGAUCAUGCCCGCAGACCUGUUGGUGUUAGGGCAGCUGCAGGACUUUAACGUGGUGCUCGACAUGGAUUGGUUGGCGCGGUACUAUGCUAUUAUUGAUUGUGGAGCAAGGAUCGUGACGUUCCGCAAGCCAGGCCAGGAGAAGUUCACUUUUAGAGGCUGCAAGAGUACGUUGUUUGCUACUUAGAUUUCGUCGUCGACGGCUCGACAGCUGAUGAGUAGAGGAUGUGUUGCUUUUCUAGCGACGGUUGUAGAGGUUCCUACGGCGGUGCCGGGACUCAAGGAUAUUCCUAUAAUCCGAGAGUUUUCGGAUGUUUUCCCCCCGGAGUUGACGACGAUGCCACCGGAUAGAGAGAUUGAGUUUGUGAUUGAUGUAGUUCCUGGAACUGCACCAAUCUCGAAGGCACCCUACCGGAUGGCACCGGCAGAGCUGAGAGAGCUGAAGGCGCAGCUUCAGGAUCUGAUGAAUAAGGGGUAUGUGAGACCCAGUGUAUCGCUUUGGGGAGCGCUUGUGUUAUUCGUGAAGAAGAAGGAUGGUUCACUUAGGUUGUGUGUGGAUUAUCGGGAGUUGAAUAAAGUGACUAUCAAGAACAAGUAUUCUUUGCUGCGCAUUGAUGAUCUGUUUGAUCAGCUGCAAGGAUCUUAUAUCUUUUCGAAGAUUGAUCUCCAGUCAGGUUACCACCAGUUGAGGGUGAGGGCCGAGGAUGUUCCCAAGACGGCUUUUCGGACUCGGUACGGGCAUUAUGAGUUUACUGUGAUGCCUUUUGGAUUGACGAAUGCCCCUGCCGCAUUUAUGGAUUUGAUGAACAGAGUGUUCAAGCCGUUCUUGGAUAGAUUUGUGGUUAUAUUCAUUGAUGAUAUCUUGAUAUACUCCCGGAGUGAUGUCGAGCAUGAGGAGCACUUAAGGAUUGUGCUGCAACUUCUGAGGGAGAAGAAGUUGUAUGCUAAGUUGACGAAGCGCGAGUUCUGGCUGCGAGAGGUUGCUUUCUUGGGCCAUGUGAUUUCUGUAGUUAGAGUAGUAGUGGACCCAAAGAAGAUUGAUGCUAUUAAAGAUUGGCCCAGACCGACGACGGUGACUGAGGUGAGGAGUUUCCUGGGACUGGCAGGAUACUACCGUCGGUUUGUGGAAGGCUUUGCGAAGCUUUCCACACCCCUCACUCGAUUGACUCGAAAGGGGAUUAGAUUCAUCUGAUGUGAGGAUUGUUAGAGGAGCUUCGAUGAGUUGAGACAGAGGUUGAUGUCAGCUCCUAUCCUUGCCCUUUCAGUGAUGGGAGAAGGAUUUGUGAUUUACAGUGAUGCAUCACAUAGUGGUUUGGGCUGUGUGCUGAUGCUGAAUGGUAGGGUAAUUGCUUAUACUUUCAGGCAAUUGAAGGAUUACGAGAAAAUUAUCCUACGCAUGACUUGGAGCUUGUCGCGGUGGUCUUUGCUUUGAAGUUGUGGCAGCAUUACCUAUAUGGCGAGCACUGUGAGGUUUUCACUUAUCAUAAAAGUCUCAAGUAUCUGUUCACCCAAAAAGAGUUGAACCUGAGGCAACGCCGGUGGUUGGAGUUGUUGAAGGACUAUGAUAUUAGUAUUCAGUAUCACCCCGGCAAGGCGAAUGUGGUGGCAGAUGCAUUGAGCAGGAAGGCAGUGCAAAGCUGGAGCAUGUCGAUUACUCCGCAGAGGCCGUUAAUUGAGGAGCUACAGCGGUUGAGACUCGAGAUAGUGUCCCCUGGGUCUACUUCAAGACUGAUGUCUAUGGUCUUGCAGCCCACUCUGUUGGAUAGGAUCAGGGAGAAACAGAGUGGAGGCUCUCACUUGUUGAGGAUUCGAGAGCAGUUGGAGAGGGGACAGGCAGAGGCUUUUUCUGUGGAUAGUUCAGGAGUACUGCGGUACAGGGACCGACUGUGUGUGCCUAUGGAUUCAGGGAUCCGAGAGGAGAUUUUGAGAUAGGCUCAUUACUCACCUUAUACGGUUCACCCCGGUGGAACCAAGAUGUAUAAGGACUUGAAGGCACACUUCUGGUGGAAUGGAAUGAAGAGAGACAUUGGCAGAUUUGUGGCUCAGUGUUUGACUUGCCAACAGGUAAAGGCAGAGCAUCAGGUACCUGCUGGCAAGCUUCAGAGUCUGCCAGUGCCCGAGUGGAAAUGGGAGCAGAUCACGAUGGACUUUGUCGUGGGGUUGCCUAGAGCACAGGGUGGUUUCGAUGCGAUUUGGGUGAUUGUGGACAGACUGACUAAGUCUACUCACUUCUUAUUGGUACAGACCACCUAGUCCAGGGAGAGACUCGCGCAGCCAUAUCUGGACGAGAUUGUUAGGCUGCAUGGUAUGCCGAUUUCGAUCGUAUCAGACAGGGACCCGAGAUUUGUGUCGCACUUUUGGAGGAGUCUUCAGACAGCCUUGGGUACACAGUUGCAUUUCAGCACAGCGUUUCACCCACAGAUAGAUGGUCAGUCAGAGAGAACCAUUCAGACUCUGGAGGACAUGCUGAGAGCAUGCGUCCUGGACUUUGGAGGAAGGUGGCAUCGACAUUUGAGACUGGCUGAAUUUGCGUACAACAACAGCUAUCAAACGAGCAUUCAGAUGGCUCCGUUUGAGGCGUUGUAUGGACGCAGGUGUCGAUCCCCUUUGCAUUGGAGUGAUGUGGGUGAAAGGAAAACUCUAGGGCCUGAUAUUUUGGUAGAGGCUGAAGAAAAGAUUAGAGCUGUACGGCGACAUCUUUUGACAGCCAAGAGUCGACAGAGGAGCUGCGCCGAUACCAGGAGACGAGACUUGGAGUUCCAGGUAGGAGAUCAUGUGUUUCUGAAAGUCUCGUCGUCCCGAAGAAUUCGCAGAUUCAGAGUGCGUAGAAAGCUCAGUCCACGCGUUGUAGGCCCUUUUGAGGUAUUGGAGUGAGUUGGACCAGUUGCCUACAGGAUUGCUCUACCCCCAUUACUGGCCAGUAUUCAUGAUGUUUUUCACGUCUCGGCAUUGAGGAGGUACGUGUUUGGCCCCUCGCACGUGAUCGACUUCACUCCGUUGGAGCUUAGCGAGGACUUGCGAUAUGAGGAAAGAUCGGUACGAAUUCUGGCUCGUGAAACGAAGGAAUUGCGCAACCGGGUCAUUCCUUAUGUAAAAGUACAGUGGAGUCAUCACGAGGAGCGGGAGGCUACCUGGGAGCCAGAGAUAGUGAUGCGGGAGUCCUAUCUCUACUUGUUCGAGGCUCAGGUUUGAGGUAUGUUUUAAGUUUCGAGGACGAAACUUUUUGUAGUGGAGGAGGAUGUAGUACCCUUAGUUUGAGUUGGUGAGAGGUAGGGAGGUAAUUUUGGUUAGUGGUUAUCCACCCCACCUACUCUGUAACACACUGGACCCUUGCAAAUUGCGAGGUUCAAGUGUUUGAUCAGUGUUUCGAGUUUUUCCAGAUAUUCUGAAGGGUCGUUGACAGUGUUCCGACCUAUGGCUCGUAUCUCGAGAAUUGAAGCUUUUAAAGUAGCGCUAAGGUCACCAAAGUGGAGGAUUUAGACUGCUCUCGGGUUGCAUUUUGCUCGACUGUGUACCGGUACACCUUGAUGGUUGUAUCGGAACAGAAUUUGUACCGGUACGCCUUGAUGGUUGUACCGAUACAAAUUGGAUUUUCUACCAACCCGAGUCUCGGGUUCGCGCGUGCACUGGGUUUGUACCGCUACACUUUCCCGUGUACCAGUACACUUGGCAGUGAGGGCUGUUUUUUGUUGGAGGGUGCAAUUACAAUUGUUGCAACCUAUUUAUACCACCCCAGCCCCCUUAGAGAGCUCUUUUGAGCCCUACCCUGUGGAGAUCAAGGUGAGAACUCUCCCUCUUGAUUUCUUCUCCAUUUUUGAUGGAUUUUAGCAAGUUUUGAUCUCCACUUUCUCACUUUUCCCUGCUUCUUGUUGGAUUCCACCAUGGGAGAAGCUUGGAUUUCAGGAUUGGGGCUUGAUAGAAGAUCAAUCUUCAACCCUAGUGGAUUCUAAGCUGGGCUUGGAGCAUCUUGUGAGGUUAGUACCAUGAUCUACCAUUUGGAUCACGUUUUAGAGGAUUUUUGAUGUUGUAACCUAAGGAUUGGAGACUUAGGGUUUAAAAUGGGGAAUUUUGAUUUGAGGCUUUUUGAUCUCAAUUGAUGGGCUUAGAACCUUUGUUUAGGUUGGUUUAGAAGGACUCUAACUCCCAUUUGGAGAUCGAGAGAGUUUUCUUCGCAUUCAGUGAGUUUUCACCAUUUUUUCUUGAGUUGCUUAAUGUUUGAGUAAUUGGUUGUUCGUAACGUUCGUAUCUCUCUCUUUUCCUUACUUUUAGGGUGCUAAGAGAGUAGCGGGCACCUUCGUCGACCCAAACGAAGGACGGCCAAGAGUUUCGGUGGGUUUGACUUCAUGAAAUAGGGGAGAAACGUCUCCUAUGUAUUUUAUACUUGUCGUUUCAUCGAAAUACAUGCAUAUUCAUGCUAGAUAGGAUUUCUAUGAAUUUUAGAAUACUUAAAAUGCAUGUGCUAUAUAUCAUGAAAAUUCAACUCUAUAUAAUAGAGCAAUAUGUGUAAUAUGCAUGCAUGUGAAAAAUAUUUUUUUUGGCAAGUUGGAAACAUAUCUCAUAUGAUGAAACUGACUCGAAUUAUGUACUCCUGAACAUUACACUCAUGCUCGGACUUAGUGAACAAAAGUGCCAUAAAGGGGCACUCGACUUAGUAAACUGUGAAACUGCAAUAUAGAGACAUAGUGAUAGGCCAUCUGGACAUCGACUAUAUUUCAUGUUUUAGACAUGAUGACAUAGUGAUAGGCCAUUGAGACAUUUGCUAGAUUUCAUAUUUUAGACAUGAUGACUUGGGACUUGAAACGGACUUUUACGCUUGCUUGCCAUUGUGCUCAUUCGCACAUGCUUGUGAGGGUCGCUCCCCACAAGCCGGCACUUCGGAGAUAGUCAUCACGACACAUACUCGCCCGUGCGGGAUUGGGCGCCGAAAUGGGAUGCCGUGGGGGAGGCUCAUUCCUAUAGUGGGGAUGUUGACUACCACGGGGCCAUUAGGCACGGCGCAGGCCGGACUACCCACGAGUAGGUCCUACAUGAUCGGAACUGUGGUGACAUAAUAUGUCUAUUGGACAUUGACUAGAAUAGUAAACAAUGACAACUUACUAUUUACUCGUGGACAUCAUAGUAGUUGUACUUAUGCAUAUUAUGUUAUGGUAGCAUUCUGAUUUAUGCAAAUUCAUACUAAGUAGAGAUAUCAUGUUGUAAUAAACCUUCAUGUUUAAUUGCUUAUUGUUCAUAUCACUUAUACAUAUACUUACUUGCUUAGUUUUGGACCUAGUGGUGCUUUACACUGAAGUCAGUAAUUGUCCACUGGAAACUAUUAUUUAAUAGUUCUCACGCCCUCUGUUUUAUGAUUUUAUUUCAGAGCCUUCAGCACCGGUGGAGACAUGGGAUCGCGACAAAGGGGUCGCGUAGCUAGAUAGCAAGGAUUUACUUUUGCUCAGGUGGUUUUCUCUCUUCUUCUUUUUUUUUGUAGAAAGAAAAAGAGGUUUUGUAUCCAUGUAUAGAGACCACCUAUGUAUUACUCUUAGCAUUGGUGCUUUAGAUUUGUUAUUGUUUUUCCUCAUGGUUUACUGUUAGUGGAUGUUAGAUCUUUUACUCUUUUCCUAUGAUAGAAUCUAGAUGUUAUAUGCUCUGAUAUCGCUAGAUCUCUUUGUAUUAUUGUCUUGUUUACCAUUUUAUUGUAGACGUCUUGUAUGUUUGAGACGUAUGGCGGAUGUAACGCACUGGACCUUUGCAAAUUGCGAGGUUCGAGUGAUUGGUCGUGUUCUGAGUUUUUCCAGAUUUCCUGGAAGGUCGUUGACUGUGUUCCGACCUAUGGCACGUGUCCCGAGGAAUGCGGUACGAAGCCUUGCACCAAAACCCAAAAAUUUGGAUUUUGGUCAGCUCUCGGAUUGGCUGUCUGGCGGGCUUGUACCGGUACAAGGUUGUGCUUGUACCGGUACAGAGCCGCGAACUCGCAAACCCGAGCCUCGGGUUUGCGUUUUCGCAGGUCUUGUACCGGUACAAGGGUGGUCUUGUACCGGUACAAUGAUUGAUGGUUGUACCGGUACAGCCAUCGGGCCUGUACCGGUACAGUGCCGCAGAACAGCGCAACCCGAGCCUCGGUUUGGAUUUUCGUAGCUCUUGUACCGGUACAAGAUCCCGUGUACCGGUACAAGGAGGCAGAAUUUGCACUGUUUGCUCUGCAGGGGCUUAUUUGCGAUUGUGGGCUUCUUAUAUCAGCACCCACGCCCCUAGGGCUCUCCCCUGGGCUGAGAAGAGUGGAGAACCAGGUAAGGGAGCUCCCCACACCAUCUCUUUGGAUUUGAUUCCCAUUUUGCAUAGUUUUUGAUGGAUUUUCCUCUCUUUUUCCCUUUUGGAGCUAUUUCCACCAUUGUUGGAGCUUGGGACUUGGAUUUGGAGUUUGAUUGAGGGAAGAUACUUGAAGUGUGAGGACUUUGAGCUGGUUUUGAGGCUUCUAAGAGGUAAGUGGCAAGAUCCUUUCCUCUAAUCUUGGUUUUUAAAGGUUUCAUUGAGAUGAAACCCUAGAUUUGGGAUUUUAGGGUUUAUUUUGGGCAUUUUCGUUUUAGGGCUUUUGAAGCUCAAUUGGUUGGAUUAGAACCUUCCUCUAGGUUAGAUUGGAAGGGUUCUAGCUCUCUUUUGGAGCAUAGGAAGAGAUUUCUACUAUUGAGGUGAGUUUUGGCCCUUUUGCUUCUAGGUUAAAGAUUGAGCUUAUUGCUCUUCGUAUCGAUUGGAUGACACCCUUUUUGAUGCUUCUAGGGUGCUGGAAGACUUGUGGAAACCUCCGUUGGAGCAAACGAAAAGCUUCGUUGUCGUCGGUGGGUUUGACCUAGCCCAUAAUAUGAGAAAAUCUCAUAUUUGGUGAUAAGUGCCUUGUUACUAAUUAAUUCAUGCAGUUUCAUAUUAAAUGUAUUUAUUAUGAGUUUUAGAAUGCUUAAAAUGCAUAAGUUAUAUAUGAUGAAGUUUUGGACCUCUAUGUAGUAGAGAGUUGCUUGAUUGAUCUUUGGUUGCAUUUAGCCUUCUAUAUGAGGUUUGAUUUCAUGGUUCUAGAGAGUAAAUGAGCUAUGAUUCAUGCGUUUAAACAUAAGUUUAAUUGGGGCAUGAAAGAUGACAAUUGCUACAAUUGUAGGCGUCGAACUUGAUAUCACGUGAAUUGGAGAGCUAAUGUCAACAAGCGGCAUUGAGCUCAGGACUUGUGAGAACCUAGUGGAUAGGGCCAUUGAGGGAUUUGGAAAACGUGUUGAACAUCAAAUUGCCUAAGUGUCAUCAAGGGGCACUAGGCGUAGCAACUGUUGAAACUUCACAUUGUGACUUAGACUAGAUCUUCGGGAUGCUAGUUAUGAUACCAUGUUAGAGACAUGAGGAUGGGAUAUUUGAGACUUGGACUAUGCUUGCUUGCCAUUUGUGCUCAUUCGCACAUGCUUGUGAGGGUCGCUCCCUACAAGCCGGCACUCCGGAGUUAGCCUGCGCGACUUUUGAUCGCUCGUGCGGUAUUGAGAAGCCUACGGGGUCGAGUGGGACAGACACAUUCCAAGAGUAGGAAUGUCGGGCUACCACAGGCACUUAGGCGGCACAAGCUGGACUACCUUGGGUAAGUCCCUAAUUGGAAAUGGAAAUCGACACGGUGUCGAAUAUGAAUAAUCACUACUAGAUAGGAUUGGUAGUUGGAUCACUGGGACACGUUUAUGAUACAGUAUUGGUACAUUUAGCAUACUUGUCGGUUUCAUUAUUGCAUCGUAGUAUACUCGGUUGUUUGGACAGUUUUACCCUUAUGCAUUGACAUAUUGCAUCGUGAAGUUUACUUGUUAUUAUGUUGAGACAUAUUAGUAUGCAUCGGAUAUAUUACCCUAUGAUAGCCUGGAUGUACAUUACCAUGACUUCAUGCUUAUUUGAGACACAGUAGACUAGCAUUUCAAUUAUGCUUUCUUUCAGCAGUUUAUGUAUAUGCUCCUUAUUGCUUGUAUUAUUAUCGUUACUUACCCUUAUUUUUGGGGCCUAGUGGAGCAAGAGCUGAGGUCAGUAAUUGCCCACUGGGAACUAUAAAUUAUAGUUCUCACGCCCUCUUUUUCUCGAUGUUUUUCAGAGCCUUCCACUCAGGGUGAGGCCAGGGAUCGCGGAAAGGGUAUCGCCUCGGGCUAGCGCGCUUACCGGGGGAUCGUUCGCUAGGUGGUCUACCUCUCGUGUUUUCUUUUGUGAGAGGUUGAGAGUUGUACCCACAUAUGUAUAGAGACCACCAUUUUUGUACUACUUAUGGUUAUCUUAAUUUGACUAGCUUUAUUUCUUUACCUUGGUGUAGAUGAUAGAACUUUACUUGCUCUGAUAUCAUUAGUUGCUAGUUAUUUCAUUUCUUGUAUUUGUUCUAUCUCUUGCUUUUAUUUCCGCUUUUGUUGUAGACGCCUUAUAUGUGUAGACAUAUGGCGGGUCUGGGCACGCUACCGGGAGGGCCUCCGCCGGUCCCGGGGCGUGACAGCGGAUCUCGACACGUCCCGGGCGAGCUUCCACUGGGUCCCGGGGCGUGACAUACUCCCCCUAUAUAGUAUCCACCUGAGAGAUUAAUUAUCUCAUAUUUCUUUUUCUCUCUAAUUUUAAGCGUAGCUUAGUGGAAGCCGUGGCUCGAGUUCGAAAAAUUUUCGACGUCGAUUCGGAGGGCCGUUUGAGUGUGCGUGCGUCGUGGUUGCGUCGUUGGAGGCCGGGCGAGCGCGUGAUUUCCUCUCCUUUCGACUUCUCGCCGUAGUUGGACAAGCUUUUCGAGGUGGGUUAAUGUUAUGCUUACCGGAUUCUAUGGAUUUCCUCCUAAUUCUAUAUGUUGACAGCAUAUGUUUUUAGCUUCGUUUAGCAUGUUGAUUAGCUCGAUUAUUGGUUUUGCAUGCUUUUGAACCUGAAUUGGAGCUUAGAAUAUUAGCUAAAGUAUACAUGUUGCACUUGGAUUUGACCUAGGAGGAAACUAACGAUUCUACAUCGUCAUUUGCUCAAACUAUCAGAUUUAGCUCUAGCAGCCGUAGUUUGUUUGUAUUGCCGCAGUUUGUGGGCGGUGGAUACCCAGAAUAGUGUAGCAUAUAUUUACGCUCGUGUUGAGAUGCCGAGUGUAUUUUUAUAGCAGUGUUUAAACUGUUCCGGAUUGUCGGGUGCCGUUGAGGUUGACGGUGGACCCAGCUUGCUUUUUUGCAUCAGAUUGUGCCGAGGGCACGUGAGUUUGGUUGUUAGACCCUGUUUACUUGACUAUAGCCUGUGAGAGCCUGAUUAAGCUCGACAGAGACACGCUUGCAUACUCGGUUAGUUAGCGCCCACGAGUGCCACUCCGGAGUCGGGCUUUGGCUUUUGCGCUGGUGUCGUUUUGUCCUGGUUGGACUUGCUCUCCACUGACGACCUUGUUUGGUGGCUGUUAGUGUAACGUACCGAAGCCCGGUAGAGCGUAGUGGACUUUAGCGAAAUGGACUAAAGCGUCCAAGAGAGAUGGUUCGACAAGUUCCAAUUAACAUUCCAACAAUGUUGGAAGGGUUAAAAAGGAGUUCUAAAAGAGUUAAAAGAAUUUUAGCAUCGGCCGUCGCGAAAUAGAGUCGAAACGGUGCAAAAACUGCAGUCUGGGCAAAGUGUACCGGUACAACCAUCGAGUUGUACCGGUACAACCAGCAGGCCGAGAGGGGGGGUAGCUCUCGGGUUUGCCUCUGCGUGAUCGUGUAACCGGUGACAGAACAAAGUGUACCGGUACACUUUGGUCUGGCAGCAACAAUGAGGUCUGCCACAAAUAGAAAGAAGUUGAGGGUAUUUUGGUAAUUGUUACAACAUGUAAUAUACCCCAAUACCCCUUCCCACUCUCUUUUCACAGCCACUAUCUCUCCCUCUCAUUUCUCUCUUUCUCUCUCUAGGAAACUCCCCAAAGAGCAAGGAGAAGGAGGAGAAGGGCUUUUGGGGGGAUUUGGAGCUUGUAGAAGAUCUUGAAGCUCUCCAACAAGGUGGACUUGGGUGAGCUUGUGACCAAGCUGAGGUUUUGAGGAAAGUUGGGCCUAGGGUUUGGAUUUGGGCCCUAGAACCUCGACGUGCGAAAACGAACUUCGAUUGAAAUUGAUCGAUGGUGAGUUUGGAACGCUUCGAAAAGGACGAAACCGUUAAAAUCGCAUUAAGUGCGUUAGAGGAGACCUUGGAGAGCAAGUGGAAAAAGUUUUGCAAAAUUGCAGAGUUUUUGAGCUCUCGGGGUCCAGACCCUCAGCGAGGGACCGGUCCCCGUACGCGUGGAAAAGAGCAGAAAAGCUGCUCUACGCACAGCUUGCUCUCGGGGUCCGGUCACUCUAGAGGGUCCGGUCCCCGUAGCCGAGACUGGCCCAGUUUGGAGCAGUGCACGUUCUUGAGUGCAAUUACAAUCCCGAACCCUAGAGGUGUCUUCUGUUAACUUCUUCAGGAUACGGGAUUGUAGAAGUUCUCACCAGGCACGGCGAUGUGCAUUGCAUGAUGAGAGGUGCAUUCGUUGUGGGCGGCCGGGCUAUGUGCGAGAUGAGAGCCGCUGGGGGACGACCAAACCUUGGCGUUGGCGAUGGCCUUCUCCUCUCCAAGACAGCCUGUGGGUGUGCCACCUACGGCGUGGUCUGGAGAGCGAGUGAUCAGAAUGUGGCAACCGGAGGGUUCGCAGCGAGCGGCAAGUGGCUAUGGUACGUGACCCAGGUUAGGGAACCUACUGCUACCGACGAUGUCAUGGCAGGUGUGGUUUAGUUGAAGCAGUCAUACACUUUUGCAUGAUGUAAGGUUGGUGCAUAGCAUGCAUUUGUCAUGGUUAGUUGCUACUAUAUAUACAUUGUAUAGUAGGGACCAAGUAGAUGGGUGAGUGAGGAUACCCGGGUAUGCUUGCAUAUGGAAGUGUAGUACCCGUUGGAGCAGGUAGAGAGCAAGUUGGCACUAGCGAGUCACUAGUGAGAGUCUAAUGCUAAGACUCAUGAUAGAUAUGGAAUUGGCGGAUCGACUCUCAAAGCAAUGUGAGUGGUUGAUUGCGAGAGUUAAGCCAUGACAUGUGAGGACCUCUUGAGAGUCCCGAAAUUUCGGAUGUUGUCCCGGUAGAUCGAACACUGAAAAUGGAAUCACUGUUGAGAAAAGCGAUUAGUUAGUGGCCAAAUACGGGCACGUGGGCCUAAUAGUACCUCAAUGUGAGGUGGGCGAGUCAUGCUUGUAUGGCCGGCGUGCAUAGGCAAAGUUGCCUAAUGCUUGACUUAGCGUGGGAUGCUAUAGAGGUGUAUAGAGUGCUCGAGUGUAGGUACUCGUGGAGUGUGGAUUGGAUCAGCCGGGAGAGUGUGUUGGUGGUAGCACUUGAGCAUCGCUAGGUGUGAAGCAUGCCAAGGAUUACUCGUGGGGCUGAUGGCUCGCACUAGGUGCUUAGGAGAGCCGAUAGUAAUAUGUGUUGCUCGGGUGAGCGUGUCGUGUGAGACGACGGUUGCGGGUAUUGUUUGAGGACGAUCUGUGCCUGGACCACUUGUGGACUGUGGAGGCUGGGCCCUUUGGACAGGCGCAGUCAGCUGUGGGUGACAAUGGCCCGAUGCCUACGGGUAGGGCAGAGUUUUGAUCAGGGCGCUAGUCCGAGUUGAGACCCGGGAGCGUGGAAUGCCACGUGUGGGAUCGAUGCACCCGAGGACUUGACGUGGUUUGGUCUUGGUUGCUCCUGGUUGGAGUGUGUACGAAUUCUCAAGUGAGAAUUUCACCUAGUAGUGAUGAUUGGCUUUGCGCUUGCGAGCGAGAGAUGCUGUGCGUAGUUGAGACAGAUUUAGGCGGUAGGCCUACGUAGAAUGGUGGCCUGUGGCUCACCUGUGGAAACCGAGGAAAGCGGUUUGGAUGAUGACUCUGUCAGUGAAGCUGGUUUGGAUACACGAACAGAGGGUUCGUGUGAGUUCGUUGCAAGAACGGAUUAGUGCUGGCCGUGGCUUAUGAUGUCAAGAUAAAGCGGUCUCUAGGAGACACUUGCAUAAUUGAUAGAUACGAGAGAUUGAGAAUAAUGCUUUCUUGAGAAUUAAAAUUGGAGUUGUGCCGGAGCGAGCCAUCUCGUAGUAGAGCAAGGAUUCGAUUGUGAUGGUAGCACUCGCGAUGGGUCGAUGCACCAAUGAUAUUGCUUCUAAGCAAUGCCGGUGAUCGAAUCGGAGUGUGUUCCCU